rnacentral:rRNA from 1 species
GACGAACGCUGGCGGCGUGCCUAACACAUGCAAGUCGAACGCGAAAGGGGGCUUCGGCUCCUAAGUAGAGUGGCGUCCGGGUGAGUAACACGUAGGUAAUCUGCCUUCGGGUGGGGAAUAACCAGUCGAAAGAUUGGCUAAUACCGCAUAAUGCAGCGGCACCUAAUGGUGAUUAGUUGUUAAAGCGGGGGAUCGUAAGACCUCGCGCCUGAAGAGGAGCCUGCGGCAGAUUAGCUAGUUGGUGAGGUAAUGGCUCACCAAGGCUUCGAUCUGUAGCUGGUCUGAGAGGACGGCCAGCCACACUGGCACUGACACACGGGCCAGACUCCUACGGGAGGCAGCAGUGGGGAAUUUUGGGCAAUGGGCGAAAGCCUGACCCAGCAACGCCGCGUGAGGGAGGAAAUCCUUCGGGAUGUAAACCUCACAAGCAAGGGAAGAGAGCUCAGGGCCGAAUAAGCUUUGAGUCCGACGGUACCUUGCGUAAGCC